GAGAGCACAGUACGAUGAAAGUAAGCUGUGUUCGGGGGGGAGUUAUUGUCUAUCGUUGGCCUCUAUGGUAGAAUCAGUCGGGGAGGCCUCCUGAGAGGCGGUGGUUUACCCUGU
rnacentral:ncRNA from 1 species